rnacentral:rRNA from 1 species
AGAGUUUGAUCCUGGCUCAGAUUGAACGCUGGCGGCAGGCCUAACACAUGCAAGUCGAGCGGCAGCGGGAAAGUAGCUUGCUACUUUUGCCGGCGAGCGGCGGACGGGUGAGUAAUGCCUGGGAAAUUGCCCAGUCGAGGGGGAUAACAGUUGGAAACGACUGCUAAUACCGCAUACGCCCUACGGGGGAAAGCAGGGGACCUUCGGGCCUUGCGCGAUUGGAUAUGCCCAGGUGGGAUUAGCUUGUUGGUGAGGUAAUGGCUCACCAAGGCGACGAUCCCUAGCUGGUCUGAGAGGAUGAUCGGCCACACUGGAACUGAGACACGGUCCAGACUCCUACGGGAGGCAGCAGUGGGGAAUAUUGCACAAUGGGGGAAACCCUGAUGCAGCCAUGCCGCGUGUGUGAAGAAGGCCUUCGGGUUGUAAAGCACUUUCAGCGAGGAGGAAAGGUUGGUAGCUAAUAACUGCCAACUGUGACGUUACUCGCAGAAGAAGCACCGGCUAACUCCGUGCCAGCAGCCGCGGUAAUACGGAGGGUGCAAGCGUUAAUCGGAAUUACUGGGCGUAAAGCGCACGCAGGCGGUUGGAUAAGUUAGAUGUGAAAGCCCCGGGCUCAACCUGGGAAUUGCAUUUAA